CCAAAGGCCCUUCUUAAGGCCACGCACAAUUCCACUUAAUUUCUUU
rfam:Schistosoma margrebowiei strain Zambia genome assembly, scaffold: SMRZ_contig0000187